rnacentral:rRNA from 1 species
GAUGAACGCUGGCGGCGUGCCUAAUACAUGCAAGUCGAGCGAACAGACGAGGAGCUUGCUCCUCUGACGUUAGCGGCGGACGGGUGAGUAACACGUGGAUAACCUACCUAUAAGACUGGGAUAACUUCGGGAAACCGGAGCUAAUACCGGAUAAUAUAUUGAACCGCAUGGUUCAAUAGUGAAAGACGGUUUUGCUGUCACUUAUAGAUGGAUCCGCGCCGCAUUAGCUAGUUGGUAAGGUAACGGCUUACCAAGGCAACGAUGCGUAUCCGACCUGAGAGGGGGAUCGGCCACACUGGAACUGAGACACGGUCCAGACUCCUACGGGAGGCAGCAGUAGGGAAUCUUCCGCAAUGGGCGAAAGCCUGACGGAGCAACGCCGCGUGAGUGAUGAAGGUCUUCGGAUCGUAAAACUCUGUUAUUAGGGAAGAACAAAUGUGUAAGUAACUAUGCACGUCUUGACGGUACCUAAUCAGAAAGCCACGGCUAACUACGUG